UGGGGGGGGAUGGGCCGGGCCAGACUAACAAUGCAAGGCACUUGUCCAGACCGUUUCCAUUAAUCAAGAACGAAAGUGGGAUGUUCGAAGACGAUCAGAUACCGUCCUAGUUCCCACUGUAAACUAUGCCGACCUGGGAUCAGUCUAGAGAUGUUACAAGCUCCAGAUUGGUCCCCCUGGGAAACCUCAAGUUUUUCGGUUACGGGGAGAGUAUGGUCGCAAGGCUGAAACUUAAAGGAAUUGACGGAAGGGCACCACCAGGGGUGGAGCCUGCGGCUUAAUUUGACUCAACACGGGGAAACUUACCUGGUCCGGACAUCGAUAGGAUACACAGACUGAUAGAUCUUUGUUGAUGCGAUGAGUGGUGGUGCAUGGCCGUUCUUAGUUCGUGGAGUGAUCUGUCAGCUUUAUUGCGGUAACGAACGAGACCACAGUCUCCAUUUAAGAAACAGAAGUAGACGACUGGUUGGUGCAGCUUGCUGUGCCCGUUAGUUGUUGUUAGUAAUUGUACGGGAAUUAAUUUCAGUUGUAGUGAUUGGGCAACUUUUCGUGAAGGCUGGAGUUGAUUGUUGUUAUAUUCUCUUCUGUCGUGUAGUAAUAGGUUUACCAAUUGCUGCCUUAUGGAGAGACAACGAGGUAUAAACAAGCUCGAGGAAGAGUGGCUAUAACAGGUCAGUGAUGCCCUUCGAUGUUCAGGGCUGCACGCGCGCUACAAUGAUAACGACAACGAGUAUCCGCGUCGAAAGACGUAGGUAAUCUUUAAUCGUUAUCGUGAUGGGGAUUGACCGUUGUAAUUAUCGGUCAUGAAAAGAGGAAUCCCUAGUAUGCAUAUUUUUAUUAGAAUGUGCAAGAUUGAGUCCCCUGCCCCUUUGUAACACACCGUCCCGUCUCUAACUACUGAGUGAAUGGUGGUGGUUCUUAGUCGAUUUCCAGGACU
rnacentral:rRNA from 1 species